rnacentral:sRNA from 1 species
GCUAGGUGCAGUGGUGCACACCUAUAAUCCCAGUGACUUGGGAGACUAAGGCAGGAGGAUCACAGAGUCAAGGAUAGCCUUGGCAACUUAGUGAGACCCUGUCUCAA